rnacentral:rRNA from 1 species
AGUGAACGCUGGCGGUAGGCCUAACACAUGCCAGUCGAACGGCAGCACAGUAAGAGCUUGCUCUUACGGGUGGCGAGUGGCGGACGGGUGAGGAAUACAUCGGAAUCUACUUUUUCGUGGGGGAUAACGUAGGGAAACUUACGCUAAUACCGCAUACGACCUACGGGUGAAAGCAGGGGAUCUUCGGACCUUGCGCGAUUGAAUGAGCCGAUGUCGGAUUAGCUAGUUGGCGGGAUAAAGGCCCACCAAGGCGACGAUCCGUAGCUGGUCUGAGAGGAUGAUCAGCCACACUGGAACUGAGACACGGUCCAGACUCCUACGGGAGGCAGCAGUGGGGAAUAUUGGACAAUGGGCGCAAGCCUGAUCCAGCCAUACCGCGUGGGUGAAGAAGGCCUUCGGGUUGUAAAGCCCUUUUGUUGGGAAAGAAAAGCAGCAGGUUAAUACCCCGCUGUUCUGACGGUACCCAAAGAAUAAGCACCGGCUAACUUCGU